UGUAUCUCUUAUCUGUUUGAUCCAGAGGAAAGUAUUGACAAAGGAUCAGUGAACUGGAGUUUGUUUAGAAUUUAUGUUCCAUUUGUUAAAGAAAAAACAGUUGAUGUAUGUAUCUUGUCAAAAUAAUCUAUAGUUAUCAUGUAAUAUUAUGAUAAAGUAUCACAAUUGUUUUACAUAUUUGUGUGGGUGUACAUAAGCACCCGAUUAUAUGUGUUUGUGACUAUUUACGUAUGCUUGCUGACGGUUUCUAUACAGAAGUCUAAAGUGAUAAUUUUAAGAGGAAUAUACUUUCUUAAGUCCACAUUCUGGUAGCUGAGCCUGUUAGCAAAGGAAAUGAUAUUGACUUUCCACAAUACUUCCUUGUCCUAUAUUCCUGGCAUGUAGACUGCUUUGGCAAUGUUUUGAUGAGCAUUGCAGUCUGCAUUCUUUGUGCCUUUAUCAAGGGUGUAACUAGAGAACAUUGCUUAGUAUCCUAUCCUCUGACAUUUUUGAGUGUCAUCAGAAAGCAGUCAUUCUUCCUGGGGAAAUAAAUCCCUUCAUGUUCCUUUUUUAGUCAGCACUGCUUUGUUUACAGAGUUGGCAAUGAUGCUUUACUCGGUCUUUUCUCACUCUCAUUUGUGGCUUUUUUUUUUUUUAAAGUCAGAUGGGAAUUUUAGAAGUCUCUAGCAAAAUCUAAUCUGUAUCCCUAUGUUUAAGUAUACAUGCCUUUUUUAAAGAAGGCAUAUAUGUUCAUCAAUAAAGAACAGAUCCAUAAAUUCAUCCUUUGCUUCUUUCCUCAGGCUAUCUUAGUAGAAAUGGCAUAAUUGUCUUAUCUACUUUGACUUAUUUUUCCAUUCUGACUGCUUAUCACCAGGAUUUCUAAUAUGCGGAAGUUUCUCGUGAAUUUACUUCAAAUCUUGCUGAUUCUCUUCUGUACAUGUCUCUCCAUCUUCCUCCGUCCUUUCUUCUUCUUGACUUUUAAGUAUAAUCAGGUUUCUUAAGCAAGCUUUUUGCUGCUCAUAUCUUUGUUCUUCUCGUUUCUCUGUGCACCGUAGUUUGGUUUCAUCCAUAAUUCCCUAAACUACCCUUUUAACUGUGAUAGUGGGCACUAAAGUUGGAGUAGUCAGUUUCAGUUUUAAACUUGCUGUAAUCUGUACUAUUUGACACUCUGACCCCACUUUGUUAAGGUUUUCCCUCCUACUUUCUGAUACUUUCCCUUAGAUUUCACCUUCCUUUCUUUUCAAUUACCCUUCCCCUUUCACAUUCUGCUUGUGUUUGGCAGACUUUAUUCAUACAACUUAGUUAUCCUUAGUGCUUUUGUUAACUUCUCUAGCUCAGAACUUUACUAAAAGACCCAGACUAGGAAUCUAGCCAAUCAUUGUACACUUUCAAACUUAGACUGUUCUCCUUGCAACUUGUGGUUCCUAGUGUUGCUGUGUCUCAUAGUGUAAUAAGCCAGUGCCACUGUUCUUAACAAGCCAGAAAACUUGGAGUCAUUACUCCUUCCUUCCAUCCUGAUUUCAGACAUUGAUUCGGAUUCCUGAGUUCCUGUUUGUCCUUCAGCUGUUACAACCCUAUUUUGAACAGGUAUUACUCAAAAAGUUUUUCUGAUUUUUUUUAACUUAUGUCAGUAUAAAAAUAACAUAUUUGUAGCUAUAGUUUACUUAGUGCUGAUGCUAAUAGAAUGUUUUGUGUGUUUACAAACAAGCAAUGCUGUAUAUUUUCUCUAUUUAGUUUUAGUUACAGAUAUAGGCUUCAUUAUAUUAUUUAUACCUGUAUAUAAUAUAUUUUAAUCACAGCCAUGCUUAUUAAUUAUCCUUUCUUGUUCUCCUACAAUUCCUGUUGAUCCCUUUCCAGGAAUAUUUGAGGGAUUAUUACAGGAGCAACAACAGUCUUAGUUAGUUUUUCAUUGUUAUGAACAGAUACCACAACGAAGGCAACUUAUAGAAAACUUUAUUGGAGGCCUUAUUCUUACCCUUUCCAACAGUUGGGAAUCAAGCAUUCAAACAUGAGCCUAUGGGGUCCGAUUUACCACACUAUGUGCCUACACUCCUGAGGAAAUGCCUCUCCCUAGUUAUCAUAAGUGCCCAUAGAUUCUCACUACCCUCUUUUUUUCUGGUUAAUGGAAUGUCGGCAGGCCUAGUCUUGUAUAGAUCUUGCACAGGUAAUUACAGAUGCUAAGCACUCAAGAGUCAUGCCCAGAAGACAGUUUGAAUAACAUUCUACCCCUUUCCUUGGCUCUCUCUGCUGUGAUCCCUCAGCCUUUGAGAGAGUGAUACAGUUCUUUUCUUAGAACUGAGCACUUGUGUCUCUGUAGUUAACUACUGCUUGCUGCCAGAAGAAGCUUCUCUAACUAAGCCAGAGGUGGCAAGUUCAAGAACAGCACGGUCGUUUAAGACUGGUAGACUAUGUGACACAAAUCAUUUCAUGCAGAAUGAGCUGCUUGUCCUUUCCCAGCAGCGCAUAGAAGUUUUCUGAUCUGAGCCAUCAGGACAUCAUCUGAAGGUACUUGGCUGAAAUCCAUUCCUUCAGGAUCUUAGGUUGUUCCCAGUGGGUUUUUUACUUCGGUUUUGUUGUUUGCUUAUUUUUCAGACUACAUGAUGAUUUCAACUUAGACACACUACUUGCUUUCUCGGUGUCCUUCAGUGACUAUCUUUUGUCCUUAGGAUAAAGUCUGUAGUCAUCAGCAUGAUUUAGGAGAUUAAAUGUUUGCUUGUUUCUUAAGUCUCAUUUCAUGACUCCCUUUUCAUUUGCGUCAAACUUCUUUAAAUACUUAAUAGGUGUGCUUUCUGUGAUCUUUGAGGCUUACACUGUGCUGUUUCAUUGGUUAGGACGGCUUUCCUCUUCACUUACUUUUACUUUUUCCUUUAAUCAAAUUCCAGUUUAGAAAAUUCUUCACGGAGAACUCAACUUUGUACUUUGAAUUAGAAUGGAUUUUUUUAAAUAAUUAUUUCUUAGAUAACUGUUUUCUGUUAGUAUGAGUGGAUACUAUGUCUACUUUGUAGUAGUCUAUUGAGCAUUGACAUUUGAGGUGAUAAACUGAAGCCAUAACAACAAUCCUAAUUCUCAUAAAGUAAAGGUCUUCAUAUUUUUGUAAGAAAACUAAUGCAGUAUACUGGCAAAGCAAAGAAACUCUUUCCUUGUCUUCUCAAUAACAUUUUAACAUUGGAAUGUUUAAAGCUAAUUGAAGCCUGUAAAUACCCCAGUUUUAAAGGUUAUUUUUUGCAGCAGAGUUGUAACAACAACGCGUGAGUAGCCAA
ensembl:sense_intronic Gm42664 predicted gene 42664